rnacentral:rRNA from 1 species
GACAGAGGGUGCAAACGUUGUUCGGAAUUACUGGGCGUAAAGCGCGUGUAGGCGGCUAUGCAAGUCGGAUGUGAAAGCCCUCGGCUCAACCGGGGAAGUGCACCCGAAACUGCAAAGCUAGAGUCUCGGAGAGGAUCGUGGAAUUCUCGGUGUAGAGGUGAAAUUCGUAAGAUAUCGAGAGGAACACCGGUGGCGGAAAGGCGGCGAUCUGGAGCGAUGACUGGACCGCUGAGACGCGAAAGCGUGGGGAGCAAACAGGAUAAGAUACCCCGGGUAGUCCAAGACCGAAUGUCUCCUGCAGU